GGAGAUGUAGUUUAGUUGGUAGAGUGUUUGCCUGGCAUGCACAAGGCCCUGGGUUCAAUCCCCAGCACCCCCC
rnacentral:tRNA from 1 species